rnacentral:rRNA from 1 species
GAUGAACGCUAGCGGCAGGCUUAACACAUGCAAGUCGAGGGGUAGGUUACUUCGGUAAUUGAGACCGGCGCACGGGUGCGUAACGCGUAUACAAUCUACCUUUUACAGAGGGAUAGCCCAGAGAAAUUUGGAUUAAUACCUCAUAGUAUUUUUGAAUCGCAUGAUUUGAUUAUUAAAGUUCCAACGGUAAAAGAUGAGUAUGCGUCCCAUUAGCUAGAUGGUAAGGUAACGGCUUACCAUGGCUACGAUGGGUAGGGGUCCGUGAGAGGGAGAUCCCCCACACUGGUACUGAGACACGGACCAGACUCCUACGGGAGGCAGCAGUGAGGAAUAUUGGACAACUAGGGCGGCAAGCCUGAUACCACGCCAUGCGCGU